CGGUGUUUAACUGGCGUGAUGUGGGACGUCCUACCGGUGGGCUUAGCCUCGCGAGGGGCGGCCCAACUAAUAUCCCGUCGCGGUGCUCUUUACUGAGUGUCGAGUCGGGCCGGUACGUUUACUUUGAACAAAUUAGAGUGCUUAAAGCAGGCUAUCCUCGCCUGAAUACUGCGUGCAUGGAAUAAUGGAAUAGGACCUCGGUUCUAUUUUGUUGGUUUUCGGAACCCCGAGGUAAUGAUUAAUAGGGACAGAUGAGGGCAUUCGUAUUGCGACGUUAGAGGUGAAAUUCUUGGAUCGUCGCAAGACGGACAGAAGCGAAAGCAUUUGCCAAAAAUGUUUUCAUUAAUCAAGAACGAAAGUUAGAGGUUCGAAGGCGAUCAGAUACCGCCCUAGUUCUAACCAUAAACGAUGCCAGCUAGCGAUCCGCCGAAGUUCCUCCGAUGACUCGGCGGGCAGCUUCCGGGAAACCAAAGCUUUUGGGUUCCGGGGGAAGUAUGGUUGCAAAGCUGAAACUUAAAGGAAUUGACGGAAGGGCACCACCAGGAGUGGAGCCUGCGGCUUAAUUUGACUCAACACGGGAAACCUCACCAGGCCCAGACACCGGAAGGAUUGACAGAUUGAUAGCUCUUUCUUGAUUCGGUGGGUGGUGGUGCAUGGCCGUUCUUAGUUGGUGGAGCGAUUUGUCUGGUUAAUUCCGAUAACGAACGAGACUCUAGCCUGCUAAAUAGGCGUACCUUAUGGUAUCGCGAAGGCCCCCGGCUUCGGCCGGUGGGUUUUUACUACCAACGUACAAACAAAUCUUCUUAGAGGGACAGGCGG
rnacentral:rRNA from 1 species